AACGAACGCUGGCGGCAGGCCUAACACAUGCAAGUCGAACGCUCCGCAAGGGGAGUGGCGCACGGGUGAGUAACACGUGGGAACCUACCUUCUGGUACGGAACAACCAAGGGAAACUUUGGCUAAAACCGUAUACGACCUCCGGGUGAAAGAUUGAUCGCCGGAAGAGGGGCCCGCGUCCGAUUAGGUAGUUGGUGAGGUAACGGCUCACCAAGCCUACGAUCGGUAGCUGGUCUGAGAGGAUGGCCAGCCACACUGGGACUGAGACACGGCCCAGACUCCUACGGGAGGCAGCAGUGGGGAAUAUUGGACAAUGGGCGCAAGCCUGAUCCAGCCAUGCCGCGUGAGUGAUG
rnacentral:rRNA from 1 species